GGUUUUAUAUUCAAUUAUGAUUUUAGAUUGCAAUUCUAAAGGUGCAAGAAUUGCUAAGGCCU
rnacentral:tRNA from 1 species